GUAAAAGAUAAGCCGGUGCACCUACCUCGAGCAGGGGGACUCUCGCGCCGACCCUCCACCCCCAAGUUAGGACGGUGCGCAGAGCGGCGGUACCCCAGCCUGGGAGGCACUGCGGACUCGGGGUGGACACGGUUGCCAGGACUUCAGAUUGGCCUCGGGAAGAAUAUGGUGAGCCGCACAGGACAGUCGAUACCUUUGCCACCAUUGUCGAUACCUGCCACCUGUCAGGGCCCAAAGUCAAGGCAAGAGCCAUGACACCAGCCUUUGGUCAGGGACCAUGCCUGGGGCCUCCCCCCUCAGCUGGGAGAGACGCAGUUCUGCUAAGUUCUGAGAGAGAACAGGUGGAGGUAUUCAAAGCGAGUCCUCAACGCGAGCGAGCCAGCAAUGGGAGGAGCAUACUGAAUAAUACAGCAGGUACCCGGGAUAGAAGAGUUCACAAGAAAGGCAACGUCCCUGACCUCACCAAGCUGAACAGAGGGAUAGACUGUUAAGAGCAGAUGCCCUGACCAAGGGUGGCACACUCUGUCAGGGGGCAGUUUAUAUGAAAACCAGAGAAAGUGGCUUUUAAACUGAGGGCUGAAGAGUGAGUGUCAUUUGGCCAGAGACAGCCGAGCAGGAGGAGAAAGAGGUUCCCCGGAGGGUGCAUAGCGUGGAGAACACCAACGAAUAUUUUAUUGAUACAGUUUAUACUGUAGAAAGUUUCACCCAGGUCAAGGAUAAAAAGAAUGCUGGUUGUAACUGAGGAGUGGAAUAAAUGAAGGGAACAUUUGACACACAGGAAUCACUUCACUGUACAUUGCAAAGUUCCUGCCGUGUGGCUGCGGACCGGCGUGCGCCCACCCCAGCUCCCCUCUACUUCUGAGACUUAAUUCAUUCCUAGUACCUGUCACUCCUGCCACUUCAUCGUUGUAUGACCUUCCUCAGUUUGAACCCAUGUGUCUGAAAUCAAAGUUCAUGCUACUUCUACGACGACACGCUCUCUAGAUUCACAAGGCCUAGCCAUCUGCGGCCGCCACGGGGCGCUGGAUGACCUUGCGGACACUGGUGGGCUGUAAUCAGGAGAGCUGAUGGAAAGCGUGAGCACUGGGGCCGCUGUGCUCCAGGCCCCAGGGCUCCCCUGCAGGGCCUCCCACCUGCCUGCCUCUGAGAACAAACGGGCAAAGGCGAAAGCAGGGGAGACGCUGGCUGACUCAGGAGGGCAGAGCCAGAGCAGGACGGCCAACAUUUUACACCCAGAUCACUGUCUUCGUUAUUGUUUAUGUUGUUUUAAGAUCACUGGUUGCCUUCUCUCCCUCUCAUUUCCGUUUUACUCUCCUCGAUUUCCCUUCAUAUUUUUUCAUUUCUAUUUCUCCUUUCCUCUUUUUAUUUGAACU